UGCUCGUCCGCCGUCGGCGGCGCCGCGAGGCCGACCGCCGACGCGCCGAGCAGGAAGGCGUGGCGCAGCAGGUCGAGCAGCUGCAGCACCAGCACCAGCGGCUGCGGCAGGAUCACGCAGUAGCACACCGACGGGAACCCCAUCGCCGUCGUCCUCCUCCCCCUAGUGAGAGAACCAAACCAAACCAAAGGAGGAAUCUUUAGAGAGAGAGAGAGAGAGGAGAGAGAGAGAUGUGAGCGUGUGAGAGGGUGAGGGUGAAUGCAUAUAUAUAUCUAUAUAUAUAUAGGAGGUUGGAGGACCUGGUUGCUUGGGGCUGCAUCGUUCCGCCGCAGUUGUAACCGCUUAUAAGUAAAAGUUUAAAUUUUAAAAUUUGCUUUUAAAUUUGAUUUUGUGAUUUUUUUCAUCUUAUUUUAUUUUACACAUUUCGCUUCAAG
rnacentral:lncRNA from 1 species